UCGGGAAUAUUGCGCAAUGGAGGAAACUCUGACGCAGUGACGCCGCGUGCAGGAAGAAGGUUUUCGGAUUGUAAACUGCUUUUAGACAGGGAAGAAAAAAUGACAGUACCUGUAGAAUAAGCUCCGGCUAACUACGUGCCAGCAGCCGCGGUAAUACGUAGGGAGCGAGCGUUAUCCGGAUUUAUUGGGUGUAAAGGGUGCGUAGACGGGAAGAUAAGUUAGUUGUGAAAUCCCUCGGCUCAACUGAGGAACUGCAACUAAACUGUCAUUCUUGAGUACUGGAGAGGAAAGUGGAAUUCCUAGUGUAGCGGUGAAAUGCGUAGAUAUUAGGAGGAACACCAGUGGCGAAGGCGACUUUCUGGACAGUAACUGACGUUGAGGCACGAAAGUGUGGGGAGCAAACAGGAUUAGAUACC
rnacentral:rRNA from 1 species